rnacentral:rRNA from 1 species
UGGGGAAUUGUUCGCAAUGGGCGCAAGCCUGACGACGCAACGCCGCGUGGAGGAUGAAGACCUUCGGGUCGUAAACUCCUUUCGACCGAGAUGAAUUUCCGCCGACCUAACACGUCGGCGGGGUGACAGUAUCGAGGGAAGCAGCCCCGGCUAACUCCGUGCCAGCAGCCGCGGUAAUACGGGGGGGGCAAGCGUUGUUCGGAAUUACUGGGCGUAAAGGGUUCGUAGGUGGCCCGCUAAGUCACACGUGAAAUCCCUCAGCUUAACUGGGGAACUGCGUGUGAGACUGGCAGGCUUGAGUGCAGGAGAGGAACGCGGAAUUCCAGGUGUAGCGGUGAAAUGCGUAGAUAUCUGGAGGAACACCGGUGGCGAAGGCGGCGUUCUGGACUGUAUCUGACACUGAUGAACGAAAGCCAGGGGAGCAAACG